AGGACGAACGCUGGCGGCGUGCCUAACACAUGCAAGUCGAGCGAGGCCUUGGAAUUGGAGUCCUUCGGGAUGAAGAGUCCUUGGCCUAGCGGCGGACGGGUGAGUAACGCGUGGGCAACCUACCCAAAGUCCGGGAUAACAGUGGGAAACCGCUGCUAAUACCGGAUGGUCUUUACCUGAGGGCAUCCUUGGGUAAAGAAAGGUUACGCUUUGGGAUGGGCCCGCGUCCCAUUAGCUAGUUGGUGAGGUAACGGCUCACCAAGGCGACGAGUGGGUAGCCGGCCUGAGGAGGGUGAACGGCCACACGUGGGACUGGGACACGGCCCAGACUCCUACGGGGGGCAGCAGUGGGGGAUCUUGCACAAUGGGCGAAAGCCUGAUGCAGCGACGCCGCGUGAGCGAAGAAGGCCUUCGGGUUGUAAAGCUCUGUCUGGAGGGACGAAGGAAGUGACGGUACCUCCGGAGGAAGCCACGGCUAACUACGUG
rnacentral:rRNA from 1 species